UGUCUGGCGGCAAUAGCGCGGUGGUCCCACCUGACCCCAUGCCGAACUCAGCAGUGAAACGCCGUAGCGCCGAUGGUAGUGUGGGGUCUCCCCAUGUGAGAGUAGGGCACUGCCAGACAU
rnacentral:rRNA from 1 species